CGGCGGACGGGUGAGUAACGCGUGGGUAACCUGCCUCAUACAGGGGGAUAACAGUUGGAAACGGCUGCUAAUACCGCAUAAGCGCACAGUACCGCAUGGCACAGUGUGAAAAACUCCGGUGGUAUGAGAUGGACCCGCGUCUGAUUAGCUAGUUGGUGGGGUAACGGCCUACCAAGGCGACGAUCAGUAGCCGGCCUGAGAGGGUGAACGGCCACAUUGGGACUGAGACACGGCCCAA
rnacentral:rRNA from 1 species